rnacentral:siRNA from 1 species
UAUUGACUACAAGCUCCAUCUGGG